UAAUUGUUGGUUCUACUUCUUUAAUUGACAGG
rnacentral:piRNA from 1 species